rnacentral:rRNA from 1 species
UACGAAGGGGGCUAGCGUUGCUCGGAAUCACUGGGCGUAGAGGGUGCGUAGGCGGGUUUUAAGUCAGGGGGGAAAUCCUGGAGCUCAACUCCAGAACUGCCUUUGAUACUGAAGAUCUUGAGUCCGGGAGAGGUGAGUGGAACUGCGAGUGUAGAGGUGAAAUUCGUAGAUAUUCGCAAGAACACCAGUGGCGUAGGCGGCUCACUGGCCCGGUACUGACGCUGAGGCACGAAAGCGUGGGGAGCAAACAGG